CUUAACAUAACCCUCUUUUGAUUUAUCAAAAAAACAGUGGCCUAUGAAGUACAUGUUCCUUUGUUAACUUCGAGCUGUCCAAUUAAUUCAAUAUAACCUCAUGAUCCAAAAACAUGUAGUAGCAUUGUUUCAGUUUUCUCCGCUUGUUGUUGUUCUUUGUUUCUUGGUACUGACGAAAGAUUGCUUCAUAUUGUCCGAAGCAUAUGCUAAGAAACCACCAUUUAUUCCUUUGUUAGGAGCGUCUCUACUUUUGGCAUUACAUCAAACGUUAAUCAUAUCAUAUCUUAAUUUGGCUAUCUUGACAUUAAGGUAAGGUAUUUAAAUGAGUCACCAAUCAAGGUUUCUGUGACUAGAAGCUGUUUCUCGAUCCUUCUCGACAUCAGGAAAUGGAAAACUACAGGGUCAGGUUCCUUUGGUUCUGUUUGGGGAUCCUUCUUCUUCUUCUCAAUUGUGUUCAAGCUAACAACUGGCCACAGCCCCUAAAAAACGUGAAUCUAAGUCCAUUCAGGCAAUGGAGAAGCGCCUAUGAAUGCAUGUCAAAUGUAAGUAUCUCUUAUAUAUAUGUGUGUGUGUGUGUGUGAGUACUUGUAAGUUAUAAUUUUGUGUGGCAGGAAUCUGCAAGGUGCUCAGCCAACUACAAAAUAAAUCUAUCAGGGGCGGUGGUUGUAAGCCAAAGUGAGGUGUUUGAAUACUGCAAGCCAGGUGGGUGUGUAGACCAUGUCUAUUAUGUGCUUAAAUGCAUCCAUUAUGUAAAAAGAGACUUCUGGUUUGCAAACAAGGCUACUGUCUUGGACCUCAAUCGUACCAUUUCUCAAGCUUGUGCCACCAAGUCAGGUUUUAAUACAACAAUCUUCACCAGCAGUGGAAUGAAGACACUUCAGAAAGUAUACAUGUCCUCGCUCUCAUCUCUACUUGCACUGGCUUUCAUUACCAUCUUCAACAUGUGAUACCCUUUUUUUCCUGGUAGUAAUCCUUGGAAGAAUGUAAUUGGUACUUAAAUAAGCUCUUCAUUGGUGUACUAUUUAAAGAAUGAGCAUGUGAAAUUAUAUUGUUGUGUUUAACUGCAACUGGGAUAUCUAUGUUACUCCCCAGGUUUCAUGCGGUGUUUUUUUU